rnacentral:rRNA from 1 species
UACAGAGGGUGGCAAGCGUUGUCCGGAAUCACUGGGCGUAAAGGGCGCGUAGGCGGUGCGGUAAGUCACCUGUGAAAUCUCCUGGCUCAACUGGGAGCUUGCAGGCGAAACUGCGCGGCUCGAGUGCCGGAGGGGAGAGUGGAAUUCCUGGUGGUAGCGGUGAAAUGCGUAGAUAUCUGGAGGAACACCGGUGGCGAAGGCGGCAUCUGGACCACACUGACGCUGAGUGAGCGAAAGCCAGGGGAGCAAACGGG